AAGAGCGUCGUAUAACGGUAGUAUUAUGAUCUCCAAAAUCACAGGUAGGUGUUCGAUUCGCCUCGCUCUUG
rfam:Rhizoctonia solani strain AG-1 IB complete mitochondrial genome, isolate 7/3/14